rnacentral:rRNA from 1 species
AUGAACGCUGGCGGCGUGCCUAAUCCAUGCCAGUCGAGCGAACAGAUGAGGAGCUUGCUCCUCUGACGUUAGCGGCGGACGGGUGAGUAACACGUGGAUAACCUACCUAUAAGACUGGGAUAACUUCGGGAAACCGGAGCUAAUACCGGAUAAUAUAUUGAACCGCAUGGUUCAAUAGUGAAAGACGGUUUUGCUGUCACUUAUAGAUGGAUCCGCGCCGCAUUAGCUAGUUGGUAAGGUAACGGCUUACCAAGGCAACGAUGCGUAGCCGACCUGAGAGGGUGAUCGGCCACACUGGAACUGAGACACGGUCCAGACUCCUACGGGAGGCAGCAGUAGGGAAUCUUCCGCAAUGGGCGAAAGCCUGACGGAGCAACGCCGCGUGAGUGAUGAAGGUCUUCGGAUCGUAAAACUCUGUUAUUAGGGAAGAACAAAUGUGUAAGUAACUAUGCACGUCUUGACGGUACCUAAUCAGAAAGCCACGGCUAACUACGUG